rnacentral:rRNA from 1 species
UACGUAGGGGGGCGAGCGUUGUCCGGAGUUACUGGGCGUAAAGGGCGCGCAGGCGGUCUGGCAAGUUUGGAGUGACAGUGCUCGGCUUAACUGAGCAAGGCCUUCGAAAACUGCUAGACUUGAGCACUCAAGAGGGACAUAGAAUUCCGGGUGGAGUGGUGAAAUGCGUAGAUAUCCGGAGGAAUACCAAAGGCGAAGGCAGUGUCCUGGGGAGUGUCUGACGCUCAGGCGCGAAAGCUAGGGGAGCGAACAGG